rnacentral:rRNA from 1 species
AGUAGUGCAAUUAAAUUAGUUCGGUGAAUAGUUAAGGUAUUUUUUAUAGUGUAAUAGCGGGUUUAUUAGGUGAAAUUUUAAAUUUGAACUAUACUAAAAAAGAGAUUUUGAAACUAUGUAAUUUUUUUAAUAAACUAGGAUUAGAUACCCUAUUAUUGGAAAUGUAAAUAUAAAUACUUGAAUAUUAGUAGUUAUGUGCUUGAAACUUAAAGGAUUUGGCGGUAUUUUAGUCUGUUCAGAGGAACCUGCCCUGUAAUUGAUGGUCCACGAUUUAUUGAACUUAUUUUAUAGGUUUGUAUAUCGUCGUAGUUUGAAUGUUUUUUAAGAAUUUUAAUGUUCAGGAUUCAUUAUUGAAUGAGGAAAAUCAGAUCAAGGUACAGCGCAUAGAUAAGUAGAGGUGGGUUACAAUAAAUUAAUUUAAAUGGUUAGUAUAAUUAAAAUUAUAGUAUAAAGUGGAUUUGAGAGUAAAAUAAUUUAGUUAAAUUAUUUGAUAUUAGCUCUAAAAUAUGCACAUAUCGCCCGUCGCUCCCCCUUCAAGGGGGGAUAAGUCGUAACAUAGUAGGUGUACUGGAAAGUGUACCUAGUAAGG